AACGUGUAAUCUCUCGCUGGUUGCACAAACGAGAGCGUGGUGGAGACAAUGCGUUGAGUUCAGCGAACACGGCCAAGUGAUGACAACAAAUUAUCUUAAUCGAGAUGAGGGAAUUGCAUCGUACUGUUUUCGACUCAACCUCCUCACCAGGACGAAGGUCUGCAGCCGAGAAUAUUCCAAGGACUUUUCCGGUACUGUCCGCAAGCUCGUACGAACUCGUACCACGCUUCGCGACAAUUACACAGGGCGUGUAGACCGGUCCAUAUUUCGCAUUGUAGUGCUCUGAGGCUGACGAAGGUUUGAAGUUCCGUUUGUAGACCUUCUGUCCUAUUCGAUUCACCACUAGAAAACUCCA